GACGAACCCUGGCGGCGUGCUUAACACAUGCAAGUCGAACGGAAAGGCCCUGCUUUUGUGGGGUGCUCGAGUGGCGAACGGGUGAGUAACACGUGAGUAACCUGCCCUUGACUUUGGGAUAACUUCAGGAAACUGGGGCUAAUACCGGAUAGGAGCUCCUGCUGCAUGGUGGGGGUUGGAAAGUUUCGGCGGUUGGGGAUGGACUCGCGGCUUAUCAGCUUGUUGGUGGGGUAGUGGCUUACCAAGGCUUUGACGGGUAGCCGGCCUGAGAGGGUGACCGGCCACAUUGGGACUGAGAUACGGCCCAGACUCCUACGGGAGGCAGCAGUGGGGAAUAUUGCACAAUGGGCGGAAGCCUGAUGCAGCAACGCCGCGUGCGGGAUGACGGCCUUCGGGUUGUAGACCGCUUUCGCCUGUGACGAAGCGUGAGUGACGGUAAUGGGUAAAGAAGCACCGGCUAACUACGUG
rnacentral:rRNA from 1 species